rnacentral:rRNA from 1 species
GACGAACGCUGGCGGCGUGCUUAACACAUGCAAGUCGAGCGGUAAGGCCCUUUCGGGGGUACACGAGCGGCGAACGGGUGAGUAACACGUGGGUGACCUGCCCUCAGCUCUGGGAUAAGCCUGGGAAACCGGGUCUAAUACUGGAUAUGACUCCAUGACGCAUGUUGUGGGGUGGAAAGCCUUGUGCGGCUGAGGAUGGGCCCGCGGCCUAUCAGCUUGUUGGUGGGGUGANGGCCUACCAAGGCGACGACGGGUAGCCGGCCUGAGAGGGCGACCGGCCACACGUGGACUGAGACACGGCCCAGACUCCGUACGGGAGGCAGCAGGUGGGGAAUCUUGCGCAAGUGGGACGAAAGCCUGACGCAGCGACGCCGCGUGAGGG